GGACAGAAAGACCCUAUGAAGCUUUACUGUAGUUUGGAAUUGGGUUCGGGCUCUUCUUGCGCAGCCUAGGUGGGAGGCUAUGAAGAUAAACUUUUGGGUUUAUUGGAGCCAACAGUGAGGGACCACUCUAGAGGAGCUAGAAUUCUAAUGGCGUUCCUUGAAGCAGGACGCUUGACAGUUUCAGAUGGGCAGUUUGACUGGGGCGGUCACCUCCUAAAAGGUAACGGAGGUGUGCAAAGGUUCCCUCAGGCUGGACGGAAAUCAGCCGUAGAGUGUAAAGGCAGAAGGGAGCUUGACUGCAAGACCUACAAGUCGAGCAGGGGCGAAAGCCGGCCUUAGUGAUCCGACGGUUCCGAGUGGAAGGGCCGUCGCUAAACGGAUAAAAGUUACUCUAGGGAUAACAGGCUGA
rnacentral:rRNA from 1 species